rnacentral:rRNA from 1 species
GACGAACCGAGCGAACGUUAUUCGGAAUCACUGGGCUUAAAGGGCGCGUAGGCGGACCGUCAAGUCAGGGGUGAAAGCCCGCGGCUCAACCGCGGAAGUGCCUUUGAUACUGGCGGCCUCGAGGGAGGUAGGGGCGUGCGGAACUUCCGGUGGAGCGGUGAAAUGCGUAGAUAUCGGAAGGAACACCGGUGGCGAAAGCGGCGCGCUGGACCUCUUCUGACGCUGAGGCGCGAAAGCCAGGGGAGCGAACGGG